UACGAAGGGGGCUAGCGUUGCUCGGAAUUACUGGGCGUAAAGCGCACGUAGGCGGCUUUCUAAGUCAGGGGUGAAAUCCUGGAGCUCAACUCCAGAACUGCCUUUGAUACUGAGGAUCUUGAGUUCGGGAGAGGUGAGUGGAACUGCGAGUGUAGAGGUGAAAUUCGUAGAUAUUCGCAAGAACACCAGUGGCGAAGGCGGCUCACUGGCCCGAUACUGACGCUGAGGCACGAAAGCUAGGGGAGCAAACAGG
rnacentral:rRNA from 1 species